rnacentral:lncRNA from 1 species
ACGAAUCCUACAGUUGCAGGCAUAAACCUAAAAGUGUGUGGGUUUGGAAGCACAAAGAAAGUACAUCUAACCCACAAGGACCCAAGACCACUUGGGUACCUAAGUAGAACUAAUCUUCUUAUUUUGCAGGAACAUGUUUGCAAAAUCUAGAAAAAGAAGUAAUUGAUCAUAGAUAUUCCAGAAGUAUAGCUUGAAAAAAAAGGUAACAUUUUUUUAUAUAGAA